rnacentral:rRNA from 1 species
AGUCGAGGGGCAGCGCGGGAUAGCAAUAUCCUGGCGGCGACCGGCGGAAGGGUGCGUAACGCGUGAGCGACAUGCCCGUUGCCCGGGGACAACCGGUGGAAACGCCGACUAAUCCCCGAUGGGAUAUUGUGCCGCAUGGCACGAUAUUGAAAGUUACGGCGGCGACGGAUUGGCUCGCGUCCGAUUAGCUUGUUGGCGGGGUAACGGCCCACCAAGGCUACGAUCGGUAGGGGUUCUGAGAGGAAGGCCCCCCACAAUGGGACUGAGACACGGCCCAUACUCCUACGGGAGGCAGCAGUGAGGAAUAUUGGUCAAUGGGCGGAAGCCUGAACCAGCCAUGCCGCGUGCGGGAAGGAGGCCCUAUGGGCUGUGAACCGCAUUUGUCUGGGGGCAAUAAGGGCGUCGCGCACGCCCGAUGAGAGUACCAGGCGAAUAAGCAUCGGCUAACUCCGUGCCAGCAGCCGCGGUAAUACGGGGGAUGCGAGCGUUAUCCGGAUUCAUUGGGUUUAAAGGGUGCGUAGGCUGUGCGUCAAGUCGGGGGUGAAAUUCCGGUGCUCAACACCGGGGCUGCCCUUGAUACUGUCGCGCUGGAGUGCGGAUGCCGCCGGA